AUAAUAACAGCAUCACAUUUGUAUAAGAUCACAUAGCAGCUACAAUGCACAAUAACAUUAUUCUCAUAUACAAUAAUCAUACAAGAGAAAAAGUGUACAAUAACCUUAUCGUCUAUGUAAUAGGGUUCACUAUCACUUAGAUAGACGAGAUUUUGAUCAUAUACACACCCUCACAGACUUGAUAUUUGACUAAACAGUUAGAUGUAUCACGUAGUUUC
rnacentral:lncRNA from 1 species